UACGUAGGGUCCGAGCGUUGUCCGGAAUUACUGGGCGUAAAGAGCUCGUAGGUGGUUUGUCGCGUUGUCCGUGAAAACUCACAGCUCAACUGUGGGCGUGCGGGCGAUACGGGCAGACUGGAGUACUGCAGGGGAGACUGGAAUUCCUGGUGUAGCGGUGGAAUGCGUAGAUAUUAGGAGGAACACCGGUGGCGAAGGCGGGUCUCUGGGCAGUAACUGACGCUGAGGAGCGAAAGCGUGGGGAGCGAACAGG
rnacentral:rRNA from 1 species